CCUAAUAUCCAAAAUUAAAGACAAAAUACGUUACUGUAAUAAUAAUAAAACUUUUUUUUCCCAUUUUGUGAUGAGUUUAGCAUUCAGUGAAUAAGUAAAGUAGCUUUCUUGUCCAUGCAUUAAAAGGGAUAAGCAGAAGUUUAGCUGAAAAAUCAUUACAGCAGAUUUAUUUCAGCUGAAGGAGAAGUGUCAGUUUUGCACACAAUAAAAACCUCCGCAGUUUUCUCGGUCGCCUAAUGUCUUCCUUGCAGAAAGACUGGUAGCGUCCUCAGAUACUGAAGAUGGUCCAGAUGUGCCUCCAACCAUAUUCAUCCUGAGUCCCCUGCAGACUCCUGGCUACCCCCCAAAGACUGCAGACGAGCUUGGUCCAGAUGUCUGUCUGGUCACAGAUUUUCGUCCAAAGGAGGGAGAUUUGGUUCUAAAUACCAAAGAAGGCCAAGCCAAUGUCAGCUCUAUCAACCCUGCUCCGACCAAGACAGGCACCUACUACACUGCUGCAUACAGCAACGACACCAUCAUCUCCUGUGAGAUGAACGGGACCUUCAGCAAUAAUGAAGCUUAUGAUUUAUGCAGGAACAUUUAUCCAGAAAAAGCCAAGCUGAACUUCUACCUGCUGCUGAUGAACGGAGUCCGGGUGGUGUUCACCAAAGCUCUGGCCUUCAGCACCGUCCUCACCAUCAGAGGCCUGCUCUUCUGAAAAUGACUGAAUUCUAAAGAAGCAGAAAUUAGAUUCAAAAUAUCUAUAUACAUAUCAAGAAAACUGAUCCACGGAAAGCCUUUAGAUUUUGUUUUUUUAAUUAGUAUUAUAAUUCAGACAAGAAUAAAACAAAGCCAAAUAUUUAAAUGUUAUAAAACACAUUUACGCUUUUGUAAAAUAAAUAAAUAAAUAAAGUACAAUUUGUAAUCUAUAAGCAAAUUUGAUGGUACAAAUA